UACGGAGGGUGCAAGCGUUGUUCGGAAUCACUGGGCGUAAAGGGCGUGUAGGCGGCCUGUUAAGUCUGAUGUGAAAUCCCCUCGCUCAACGAGGGAACUGCGUCGGAAACUGGCAGGCUCGAGUACCGGAGAGGAAGGUGGAAUUCCCGGUGUAGCGGUGAAAUGCGUAGAUAUCCGGAGGAACACCAGUGGCGAAGGCGGCUUUCUGGACCGACACUGACGCUGAGGCGCGAAAAGCUAGGGG
rnacentral:rRNA from 1 species